UGCUUAAAAGGAGCAGACGAGGGCGGAGCCUGCGCCUGAACCAGAGCGGACGCAAUCUACAGCAGCUCCGCUAAAAUCCAUUGGAAAAACCAGAAAAACCACACUUGCCGACCUAAUUGAACGGGUAACUCACCCACAUACACCCCGAGCACCCCUCUGGCACGACAUAUGCCGUUUUUCCAGGCGGCCAAGACGCCGAGGAAGAAGCGGAAAACCGGGGCCU